AAAUUGAAGAGUUUGAUCAUGGCUCAGAUUGAACGCUGGCGGCAGGCCUAACACAUGCAAGUCGAACGGUAACAGGAAGAAGCUUGCUUCUUUGCUGACGAGUGGCGGACGGGUGAGUAAUGUCUGGGAAACUGCCUGAUGGAGGGGGAUAACUACUGGAAACGGUAGCUAAUACCGCAUAACGUCGCAAGACCAAAGAGGGGGAGCUUCGGGCCUCUUGCCAUCGGAUGUGCCCAGAUGGGAUUAGCUAGUAGGUGGGGUAACGGCUCA
rnacentral:rRNA from 1 species